UCCCUGGUGGUCCAGUGGUUAGGACUCCAUGCUUCCAGUGCUGGGGCCCCGGGUUCAAUCCCUGGUCAGGGAU